rnacentral:hammerhead_ribozyme from 1 species
AGCCGAAACGCCCCUCGGGGCGUCAUCGAGGGGGAGCCCGCCCUCGAUCUGAUGAUGGCAGGGCACG